AUGUCUUUAUUUUUUAUAAACGUUUCUUAAAUUAAUGUGGUUGGAGUUAAACUUUGAUGGCUGUUCCUCUCACUGCUUGAAGCCUUAGGCAGUGGGAUUUUGAUCCAUCAUAUAUCAAAAAUGGCUUAUCUUCACUCAGGGCACCAUGAGGAUGGGCUGGCUGUCCGUUAGUGCCUUCUGAUUUUUGCGGAGUCAAACAAU
rnacentral:lncRNA from 1 species